rnacentral:rRNA from 1 species
AACGAACGCUGGCGGCAGGCUUAACACAUGCAAGUCGAACGCCCCGCAAGGGGAGUGGCAGACGGGUGAGUAACGCGUGGGAAUCUACCCAUCUCUGCGGAAUAGCUCUGGGAAACUGGAAUUAAUACCGCAUACGCCCUACGGGGGAAAGAUUUAUCGGGGAUGGAUGAGCCCGCGUUGGAUUAGCUAGUUGGUGGGGUAAAGGCCUACCAAGGCGACGAUCCAUAGCUGGUCUGAGAGGAUGAUCAGCCACAUUGGGACUGAGACACGGGCCAAACUCCUACGGGAGGCAGCAGUGGGGAAUAUUGGACAAUGGGCGCAAGCCUGAUCCAUCCAUGCCGCGUGAUUGAUGAAGGCCUUAGGGUUGUAAAGCUCUUUCACCGAUGAAGAUAAUGACGGUAGUCGGAGAAGAAGCCCCGGCUAACUUCGUGCCAGCCGCCGCGGUAA